UAUCUUUUUAAUUUUUUUUAUGUUUCAGAGUGCUAAACCCUUCCAUUUCUCUCCCUCCCCAUCUCUCAUCCAGCCGGCAACGACGACCUUUUGGCGGCUCACCGGCAGCGAUGCGUUGACGGAAUAGUGUCAACCAACUUUCAUGUUCGAGUAUUGAAGGAAUGGCUUUUGAAGUUACGAUUUUGGGAUUGGGGAUUCUGAUUUGGAGAAUUUCGUGUGUUCUUUUGGGGGUUAGGGUUUCGAAAUGGGGAUUUGGGUUUCUAAUUCUCGCUUUCGGGUUUCCCGUGGUGGUUGAUGGUGGUUGCGCUGGUAGCGUCAAUGGAGGCACUGGUGAGUGCGGCCAGCGAUCUGCAACGAUUCAUGUUUUUCUUACCUCCAAGCGGCAAUCUGUAAGCCUCUUCUCUCCUCCAGCCGGCGAUGACCACUUGCGGCGAUAUAGUAGACGCGACAGACCAGCAUUGCAAUGGUCCUUUUUUGUCUGAUACAUAAAGGAAAUUAAGCAAAUGGAAUAUCUUUCGAAGGUUAUCCAUGAGAUGCUGUGCAAAACAUCUAUCUCAUUUGCUAAAUUUAGACAGGCAAAGGUUGACCUCAGCAUCAAUGGUUUUACUAUACCAAAAGGAUGGAAAUAUGGACCCUGAAACUUACAUCAAUCCAAAGGAAUUCGAUCUUUCCAGAUGGGAAAAUCACACAGCAAGAGCGGGUUCUUUUAUUCCAUUUGGAUUGGGAAGCAGAUUUUGUCCUGGGAGCGACCUGACCAAACUUCAGCUCACCAUUUUCCUCCAUCAUUUUCUUCUUAACUACAGGACAUAUCAUUAGGUGUUGCAAUGGGAUCUACAACUGAAAUUUCUGGGUAACAGGCAGAUUAGUUGGAAACACUUCAUGGAGUCUAUUGGCAAUGGACAAGUUAUCUCCUACAAUGUGAAGAUUAAUUUGAGUACUUUUAAAAGUAUUUAUUUGAAUAAAUUUAUAUUAAAAAUUGAAAUGUAAUGUUAAAAUAUAUAGUUUCCAAAUUUUUCAUAUGUUUAAUAUUUUUUUUUAUUUCAAGCUUAAUUCAUAAUCAUUUAGUUUUGGUGA